CGUGUGAUAGCUCAGAGAGGUUAUUCAAUUAGACUAAGUUUUCACUCUAAUGGCAUAUAAAACAACAUAAUGCUAUUCUACAUCCCACCAGAAUGAAAACAAUGGGAACCUUCUCUGGUUACACCUCCGAGGCUUCUACAAUUUGCAAGCCAUACGGAUGCUGAGACUAAGGAAGAUGAGGGAAUUCUACAAUUUACAAUUCACGACCUAUCUGCUCAGCGCGGUAAAGUUCCAACGAGAAGGGAACCAUUCUAAGUAGUAAUGUCUAAGAACCGUGGAUUCACACCAAAACCACAGCAUAAUAAACGAAACGUUUGCGUUUUCUAUGCUGUGCCAAAACAGAGUAUAGGUUAGGUUAGUGCUAUCUUCGCGGGAGAGAUUAAAUGUCCAGCAAACGACGGCAAUGUUGCCAGAUUCCUUUUAGCGGGAAUUUUAAAAUUUUAUAGCAGUUUGGUUUUAAAUUUGACAGUUCUGUUUUCUUAAGUCAAAAAUCUUAACCUUACUUUUACAAGUGAUUAGGAUUAUUAUUAUUAUUUUAUUUACAUGUAAUUUGAAACAAUAAAUAUUGAGCUGUGUCAUAAUUUCAAACUCAUUAUGUUGCAGUCUUUUCCAGUUGAUUAGUUGAUAAAAUUUCAAUUCAAAAACUUAGAUUUGCACUGUAUGGAUGGCACAGGAAGAGAACAAGACUACAAGAACAUCUUAUUAUGAAUGUAUAUGUAUGUGAUCCUCAAAAAAUUAUUUUACAAAACAAGAUAGAGAAAGAGCUUUAAAAUCCCAAGGAUCCUGCAAAAUGUUUAUUUGGUGUACUAGUCGAAUAAUAGUAUCUAAAAAUAUUGAAACUAUUUUAAAACACAUUACGGGCAUGAGGAUGAUAUAGAGCACUUACAUAAAUACCAAAAUCAGAUAAAUAUCUCUUCAAAGUUUAUUUUGAGACUUUCUUCAAAAAUUAAACUUCAGACUGUUCAGGAUAGCAUAAUAGCAUAGGAGGCGAAUUAAAAAGAAUUGAUUUACUUACAAGAAAAGAUAUCACAAACAUUAAACUCUCUUAUGGCAUUGAUUUGAAAGAUGGGUAUAUGUACAAUGAUGAUGCAACCAGUGUUUAUUUUUGGGUUGAAUGCUUACAGACUCAUGUCCAAUAUUAUUUUACAAACAACAGGGCAUACUAAUGGAUAUUCAUUCUGAAUUUAACAUUUAUGAUUUUUGUCUUAUUUUCCUUAAUACUGUGCCAAAAGAAAAUGUUAAUUAAGUUUGGUAAAUCCUUUAUCGCAAUCGAUGGAACUCAUGGGCUCAAUUCCUAUGACUUUGAACUUAUGACAGUAUUAGUAAAAGAUGAAUUUGGGAAUGGAUUUUGUACUGCUUUCUUAUUUUCAAAUAGAAAAGAUACCUACUUUAA
rnacentral:lncRNA from 1 species